GCCAGCAAAGUGACAAUUAAGCUAUUGUUAGUAAAUGUAUUACAAGAUUGUGAAGCGGAAAUAUAAAUGCCUUAAAUGAAGUCUCCAUAAAGUUUUGUCACAGAAGGACUAGUGUAAGGCCCAUUUAUUCUCCUCCCUUAUACUCAUUUUCAGAAACCUAGAACUGUUGUCGUCUCCCUCCGCUGUCAUAAAGAGCUCUGUUAGAGUUUACACUUUCCCGAUCGAACAAAGCUCAACCCCGUUCUCAUAUUCUACCACCUUGAAUCGCUCUUUGAGUUGACGUUCUCCGCUGUUUAGGGUCGAGGUCUCGUGCUAGCCAUUUCUAGAGGCGAGGAACACCCAUGGACGACAGGGAGGUGAUAGCUCCGCCGCAUAGGCUGGACCUUAUUUCUUGAUGGGCUUUUCCUUAGGGCUACGACCCAUGUAUUGCUUCACGUUUUAUUUUACUGUACUCAUUUGUUAGACUUUUAUCUAGUUUUCUUUGGGGCAUUGUGGUGUGCCUUGGAUUGUAAGGAGUUGAGUUUUGAACUCCAUAACUACACUAUUAUGUUAUCCUUUUGUAAUGCUUCCUUUGAUUUUGUAUGUUAAAUUAAAUGGGGUGUUACAAGUAGGGUUUAUAAAAA